rnacentral:rRNA from 1 species
UAUUAGUGGCAGACGGGUGAGUAUGCAUAGGAAUCUACCUAGUAGUAUAGGAUAGCCACUAGAAAUGGUGGGUAAUACUGUACAAUCCCUGCGGGGGAAAGACUUAUCGCUACAUGAUGAGCCUAUGUUAGAUUAGCUAGUUGGUGGGGUAAUGGCCUACCAAGGCAGUGAUCUAUAGCUGGUCUGAGAGGAUGAUCAGCCACACUGGAACUGAGACACGGUCCAGACUCCUACGGGAGGCAGCAGUGGGGAAUAUUGGACAAUGGGCGCAAGCCUGAUCCAGCUAUGCCGCGUGAGUGAGGAAGGCCUUAGGGUUGUAAAACUCUUUCAGUAGGGAAGAUAAUGA